UACGUAGGGUGCAAGCGUUGUCCGGAAUUAUUGGGCGUAAAGAGCUCGUAGGCGGUCUGUCGCGUCGGCUGUGAAAACCUAGGGCUCAACCCUGGGCCUGCAGCCGAUACGGGCAGACUAGAGUUCGGUAGGGGAGUCUGGAAUUCCUGGUGUAGCGGUGAAAUGCGCAGAUAUCAGGAGGAACACCGGUGGCGAAGGCGGGACUCUGGGCCGAUACUGACGCUGAGGAGCGAAAGCGUGGGGAGCAAACAGG
rnacentral:rRNA from 1 species